UGCGUAGGUGGCCGGGUAAGUCUGACGUGAAAUCUCCGAGCCUAACUCGGAAACUGCAUCGGAUACUAUCCGGCUCGAGGGUUGGAGGGGGGACUGGAAUACUUGGUGUAGCAGUGAAAUGCGUAGAUAUCAAGUGGAACACCAGUGGCGAAGGCGAGUCCCUGGACAACUCCUGACACUGAGGCACGAAAGCUAGGGGAGCAAACA
rnacentral:rRNA from 1 species